GAUUUUAAAGGGCCGCGGUAAUUUGACCGUGCAAAGGCAGCAUAAUCGUUAGUUUUUUAAUUGGAAUCUUGUAUGAAUGGUUUGACAAAAGAAAAUCUGUCUCUAUUUUUUUCUUUGAAUUUAACUUUUAAGUGAAAAGGCUUAAAUAGUUUAAAAAGACGAUAAGACCCUAUAAAGCUUUAUAAAUUGUUUGUUACUAAGCUGAAUUAAUAAAUAAUAGUUUAGUAAGAGAAGUUUAUUUUAUUGGGGCGAUAGUGGUAAAAUGUUUAUUAACUGUUAAAAUUUUAAGACAAAUAUAGUUGAGUAAAGUUGUAUAAAUUGAUCCUGGAAUAUAGAUUAAAAGUUUAAGUUACUUUAGGGAUAACAGCGUUAUUUUUUUUGAGAGUUCAUAUCGAAAAAAAAGUUUGCGACCUCGAUGUUGAAUUAAAAUGUCUGUACAA
rnacentral:rRNA from 1 species